GUGAAUAAAGACUAUCUGCCAGGGCCGGAGACCUGUGGCUGCUGACACCCAAGAAUUUGGCUGGCUGACUGGCCAUAGGACAUGUUUAUCCAGUGUUUCCAAGACAGGCUGAGCAACGACGUCUACAACCACCUGCAUCUCCCAGGGCACCGAAAAAGAAAAAAGCCUUGAAGCCAAAGUCAAGCAAAGGCCAUGGUGACGCUCCACUGCUUGUUUUAAGUGUGGAAAAGAGGGGCACUGGGCACCGACUGCUGAACCAGCCCUAGACCUGCGAGGAACCGGGGAAACAGUGCUGGAGGGAGUUGAAGCUGUUGCAUUCACCCUAUCAACUAACGAUGGUGCGCGAAGUCUGACCAUCCCGGUGGAAGGCCCCGUGGAGAACGACACCAACUCGGACAACUACCUCUUGUACCUCCCAGGCGGCUGGAACUUCUUGGCGAAUGGCCUCUCACGGCUGCCCCAGUACAACAGCUGUAAAGGACUAACAUCCCUGUCAAGGUGGCCCAAGGAGAGAAGCAACCCAGAACUAAGAAUUUCCUUUCAGUAAGGACAAUUAAUCAGCGGAACACUGGAAGUUUUUAAGAAGAGACUGGACAGCCAUUUGUCUGAAAUGG